rnacentral:lncRNA from 1 species
AGCUUAUGGACGAGCAGGAAAGAAGUUAGGAAGACUUCCGGAGGAAUUACUGACAGCUGAGCAGAAUUAACCAGAUGAGUCUGAAAAGAGGUUUAGUGACUCACCCAAGACCUUGGAACUAGCAUUAUCUUUUACGUCAGCCCUGAGCUAACAUCUGCCACCAAUCCUCCUCUUUUUGCUGAGGAAGACUGGCCCUGAGCUAACAUCCGUGCCUAUCUUCCUGUACUUUGUAUGUGGGACGCCGAACCACAGUAUGGCUUGCCAAGCGGUGCCAUGUCCACACCCAGGAUCCGAACCGCUGAACCCUGGGGUGCCAAAACAGAACUUGCGAACUUAACCGCUGCACCACCAGGCCGGCCCUACUUAUGGACUAAUUUUGAUUGUCCUUGAGAAAAGGUUU